GACACAGGCAGAGAGAGAAGCAGGCUCUAUGCAGGGAGCCUGACGUGGGACUCGAUCCUGGGACCCCAGGAUCACGCCCUGGGCAGAAGGCAGGGGCUAAACCACUGAGCCACCCAGAGAUCCCGCAAGCUAACUUUCAAGACUCCUUUAUAACAUGUUGGGAAAGGCUGAAAAGAAGAGAAUUACAACAGAAGUGCCAAAGACGUGUGAGAACAAUUAUUCCAUAGACUCAACGGUUUAAAAACUGCUUGGACAUUAUCAAUUGCUCAGCUGGGAGAGCUCACCCUGCAAGGGGCUGAAAGAGAAGAGAAUAUACAUUUCCCCUAAUCCAAUCUCCAUCAUCUAACACAUCCUCAUCAAGUGUGGAUCUGCUGAAAUCAUGGUUUACUCUGAUUGAACUGUGCUGGUUAAUUUUACAUGUCACUUGACUAGACUUUGGUCACCAAUUGUUUGGUCAAAUAGAAGUGUAGAUGUUGCUGUAAAGGUAUUUUUAGAUGUGAUUAAUGUUAACAGUCAUUUGACCUUGAUAUUUUAUGUGGGUCUCAUCUGAUCAUUUGGAGGCCUUACUAGCCAAGGCUGAGGUUUUCCAAAGAAGAAGGAAUUGCCACUCCAGACUGUAAUAUAAGUACUCUACCUGAGCUUCCAGCCGGUGGACUUAGGAUGCAAGAGUGCAACAUUCAUACUUACCUGAACAUCUAGCUUCUAGUCGGCCAUCUUGCCCUACAGAUUUCCAGUUUACCAGCCUCCACACCAUAUGUAUACAUACACACACACACACACACACACACACUAACGUAUUGCUUCUGUUUCUCUAAAGAACCUUCGUUAAUACAUAUAUUUAUGGCAUAUACGAGAAAAUAUGGUUCCCAGCAUAUACUACCAAAGGCCUGUUCUUACUCAGAACCUCCUGCUUCAAUCAGCAAAGUCCACACACCAGAUGUUUGUGGCUUGUCAUGAUUCUCUUUGUCCUGAGGCAUUCCGCAAGUUGCAGUCUUCAGUGAACGUGGACAUACAUCAGUGUGGUAUGGGUAUGUAAAGGAGAGCAGAGGACCUGACUUCAGCACUGGGCCACAUUGUGCCAGUGGCAGGGCUCCUGUACUUCAUUUUUUCUUCCUAUCUCCUUUCCCCUUCUUCAUAGUUCUGUGGGAAGGGCCAGACUUUUCUAUAUUUGCUGUUCCCAACCAGAAAGGACUCCCAUGGAGUUGGAAGAGCAGCCUGGUCAGCCAGUCAGUCCCAUAAGCCCUGUCUUUCAGGCUCUUCUCUGCCAGGCUUGAUUGGGCUGAUCAGGUUGGCUAUGCCCAGUGGUCCAACUUGUCUUCAACUCAGGAGAGAGGGCUGGGAUGUCCACAUGUAGGCACCAAUCCUGGACUAUGUCUCUCACUUAUUUUUUUAUUUAUUAUUUUAUGUUAUUUUAUUUUUUAAAGAUUUUGUUUAUUCAUGAGAGACACACAGAAGAGAGGCAGAGACAUUGACAGAGGGAGAAGCAGGCUUCUGGGUGGGGAAGAGCCUGAUGUGGGACUUGAUCCCAGGACCCCAGGAUUACAUUGCUCAACCACUGAGCCACCCAAGUGUCCCUACUUCUUCUUGUCAUGAUUCUCUCAUUUAGCUUUUGCCAGAGACACAUGAACUCUAGGGAUUAUUGAGCACUGGCCAGGCCAGCAAUGAAAAAAUAUUUUUGA